rnacentral:rRNA from 1 species
CCCCGAGGAAAAGAAAUCAACCGAGAUUCCCCCAGUAGCGGCGAGCGAACGGGGAGCAGCCCAGAGCCUGAAUCAGUGUGUGUGUUAGUGGAAGCGUCUGGAAAGGCGCGCGAUACAGGGUGACAGCCCCGUACACAAAAAUGCACAUGCUGUGAGCUCGAUGAGUAGGGCGGGACACGUGGUAUCCUGUCUGAAUAUGGGGGGACCAUCCUCCAAGGCUAAAUACUCCUGACUGACCGAUAGUGAACCAGUACCGUGAGGGAAAGGCGAAAAGAACCCCGGCGAGGGGAGUGAAAAAGAACCUGAAACCGUGUACGUACAAGCAGUGGGAGCCUCUUUAUGGGGUGACUGCGUACCUUUUGUAUAAUGGGUCAGCGACUUAUAUUCUGUAGCAAGGUUAACCGAAUAGGGGAGCCGAAGGGAAACCGAGUCUUAACUGGGCGUUAAGUUGCAGGGUAUAGACCCGAAACCCGGUGAUCUAGCCAUGGGCAGGUUGAAGGUUGGGUAACACUAACUGGAGGACCGAACCGACUAAUGUUGAAAAAUUAGCGGAUGACUUGUGGCUGGGGGUGAAAGGCCAAUCAAACCGGGAGAUAGCUGGUUCUCCCCGAAAGCUAUUUAGGUAGCGCCUCGUGAAUUCAUCUCCGGGGGUAGAGCACUGUUUCGGCAAGGGGGUCAUCCCGACUUACCAACCCGAUGCAAACUGCGAAUACCGGAGAAUGUUAUCACGGGAGACACACGGCGGGUGCUAACGUCCGUCGUGAAGAGGGAAACAACCCAGACCGCCAGCUAAGGUCCCAAAGUCAUGGUUAAGUGGGAAACGAUGUGGGAAGGCCCAGACAGCCAGGAUGUUGGCUUAGAAGCAGCCAUCAUUUAAAGAAAGCGUAAUAGCUCACUGGUCGAGUCGGCCUGCGCGGAAGAUGUAACGGGGCUAAACCAUG